CUUGAACCAAAACAUCUUCCAAAGGAAGGAAAUAAGGCAAAGUUUCCAUACAAUACCAUGAAAGAGGGGAGACUUAUAGUCUCACUAACUAGAAUGCUUAUGCCUAUUAUGUCACAAAUUUAGCGCUAUGUUAAGCAAUCGUAAUUGGACUUAUGUAGAAGUCACAACUAUUUGAGGUCGGGCAAUAGACUUUUGGUGUUAAUGCAUGUUGGAGACAUAGUAUUAU
rnacentral:lncRNA from 1 species